AGAGUUUGAUCCUGGCUCAGAACGACCGCUGGCGGCAGGCCUAACACAUGCAAGUCGAGCGAUCCUUUCGGGGAUAGCGGCGGACGGGUGAGUAACGCGUGGGAAUGUGCCCUUCUCUACGGAAUAGCCUCGGGAAACUGGGAGUAAUACCGUAUACGCCCCUUGGGGGAAAGAUUUAUCGGAGAAGGAUCAGCCCGCGUUGGAUUAGGUAGUUGGUGGGGUAAUGGCCUACCAAGCCUACGAUCCAUAGCUGGUUUGAGAGGAUGAUCAGCCACACUGGGACUGAGACACGGCCCAGACUCCUACGGGAGGCAGCAGUGGGGAAUCUUAGACAAUGGGGGCAACCCUGAUCUAGCCAUGCCGCGUGAGUGAUGAAGGCCUUAGGGUUGUAAAGCUCUUUUGGCGGGGACGAUAAUGACGGUACCCGCAGAAUAAGCUCCGGCUAACUUCGUGCCAGCAGCCGCGGUAAUACGAAGGGAGCUAGCGUUGUUCGGAAUCACUGGGCGUAAAGCGCACGUAGGCGGAUUGCUAAGUCAGGGGUGAAAUCCCGGGGCUCAACCUCGGAACUGCCUUUGAUACUGACAAUCUAGAGUCCGAUAGAGGUGGGUGGAAUUCCUAGUGUAGAGGUGAAAUUCGUAGAUAUUAGGAAGAACACCGGUGGCGAAGGCGGCCCACUGGAUCGGUACUGACGCUGAGGUG
rnacentral:rRNA from 1 species